rnacentral:rRNA from 1 species
UACGUAGGGUGCAAGCGUUGUCCGGAAUUAUUGGGCGUAAAGAGCUCGUAGGCGGUUUGUUGCGUCGGCUGUGAAAUCCCGAGGCUCAACCUCGGGUCUGCAGUCGAUACGAGCAAACUAGAGUGUUGCAGGGGAGACUGGAAUUCCUGGUGUAGCGGUGAAAUGCGCAGAUAUCAGGAGGAACACCGGUGGCGAAGGCGGCAUUCUGGACUACAACUGACACUGAGGAACGAAAGCCAGGGGAGCAAACGGG